rnacentral:tRNA from 2 species
GCGAGUGUAGUUUAAUGGCAAAACUCGAGCUUCCCAAGCUUGCGUCGUGGGUUCGAUUCCCAUCACUCGCUCCA